rnacentral:rRNA from 1 species
AUACGGAGGGUGCAAGCGUUACUCGGAAUCACUGGGCGUAGAGGACGCGUAGGCGGGUUUGUAAGUCAGGUGUGAAAUCCCACAGCUCAACUGUAGAACUGCACUUGAAACUACAGACCUAGAGUAUGGAAGGGGCAGAUGGAAUUAGUGGUGUAGGGGUAAAAUCCGUAGAUAUCACUAGGAAUACCGAAAGCGAAGGCGAUCUGCUGGGACAUUACUGACGCUGAGGCGUGAAAGCGUGGGGAGCAAACAGGAUUAGAAACCCCAGUAGUCC